UCUAAACAGCAAUCAUCUCAAAACUACUAACGUCUACACCUCAAGGGAAAAGAGAGCCAAUAGACUGUGCACUACAUAUAUAAGUGGCAACAACAAUGAUAUCUAAGGAAACACCAACACACCACAGACUCAUGGAGAGAAGAUCAUCAUGACUAGCAGAGAUAUCUGAAGUUCCAAAAGAACAAUAACAAAAGCAGUAGUACCAUCACAGCAUUAGUUCAAGUCAAG
rnacentral:lncRNA from 1 species